AAAAAGCUCGUAGUUGGAUUUCUGGCGGGCGUCCGUCAUCCCCUGGUGGGUGAUGCUCGGGCCCGGCCAUCCUUCUGUCAACUUUCGCCCGUCCUUUACUGGUCGGCAGAGGGAUCAGAUAAUUUACCUUGAGAAAAUUAGAGUGUUUCAGGCAGGCUUAGCCGGAAUACAUUAGCAUGGAAUAAUGGAAUAGGACUGAGGUCUCGUUGUUGGUUACGCGGACUACAGUAAUGAUUAAUAGGGACAGUUGGGGGCAUUAGUAUUUAUUAGCUAGAGGUGGAAUUCUCUAAUUUGAUAAAGACUAACUUAUGCGAAAGCAUUUGCCAAGGAUGUUUUCAUUAAUCAAGAACGAAAGUUAGGGGAUCAAAAGACGAUCAGAUACCGUCCUAGUCUUAACCAUAAACUAUGCCGACUCGGGAUCGGGAGCGUGUGUUAUCCGCUUUCGGCACCGUAUGAGAAAUCAAAGUCUUUGGGUUCUAGGGGGAGUAUGGUCGCAAGGCUGAAACU
rnacentral:rRNA from 1 species